UUUAGAUUCUUCAAAAAAUAAAGUCAACUAAAACAGAAUCUGAUUCCAAGGCCCCAAGACUUCAGAUUAACUUUAUAUAUAACCUUUAAUUGUGUCAUAAUAAAUAUUAAAUGAUUUGAAAUAGAAAUUCCUUGAUAACAUUAGAUAUCUUUCA